rnacentral:rRNA from 1 species
AGAGUUUGAUCCUGGCUCAGAUUGAACGCUGGCGGCAGGCUUAACACAUGCAAGUCGAGCGGUAACAGAUCUAGCUUGCUAGAUGCUGACGAGCGGCGGACGGGUGAGUAACGCGUAGAAAACUGCCCAGUAGUGGGGGAUAGCCCAGAGAAAUUUGGAUUAAUACCGCAUACGCCCUACGGGGGAAAGGGGGCUUCGGCUCUCGCUAUUGGAUGUGUCUGCGUGGGAUUAGCUAGUUGGUGAGGUAAGGGCUCACCAAGGCGACGAUCCCUAGCUGGUCUGAGAGGAUGAUCAGCCACACUGGGACUGAGACACGGCCCAGACUCCUACGGGAGGCAGCAGUGGGGAAUAUUGAACAAUGGGCGAAAGCCUGAUUCAGCAAUGCCGCGUGUGUGAAGAAGGCCUGCGGGUUGUAAAGCACUUUCAGUAGAGAAGAAAAGUUUAGGGUUAAUACCCCUGGAUCUUGACGUUACCUACAGAAGAAGCUCCGCUAACU